UGUCAACUUGGAAAUUUAGAAGUCCCUACUUUAUUUAGUUGGGAGGUAGAAAUCCCAGGUUACUGGAGAGUUUUCCCCCUGAGGGAAGGUCCUACUUCAUCAGACAAUAGACAUCCUGGUAGUUUGGGUGGGAAUAGAUAAUCCCAUUUGAUGUUAAGUAUCUCUUUUGUCCCAAUGGUUUCUCCCCCUAGGCCAAAUUCCAUUACUCAAGUGGCCCAGCCCUGGGCUGAGUAUUUCCCUUUUGUGUCCAUUGCAGGGCAUCAGCCCCUCACUGUUAUUUCAAUCCCAAACCCCUCAUUUUUCUUUCUUACCAUAAUAAAUUCAAUCAACUGUCCCUCUCACCCUAAGCCCCCAGGUCAACUAGAAAGGUAUUUAAACUCCCCAACUUUAAUGGCUCCUCAGAGUUGUCAUUCUCCUACAUUUGGCAUUUCCCAGGGGUCAGUGACCAGAGCAGCCAGAGUUCAAUCCUGGGACUCUGCAGUUGUGUGUUGAGCAGCUCUGUUGUGAGGCCUACUAGCGCAGACCCCCUUUUGCCCUUGAUUAAAGAGUGAUUUUGACUAUUUAAUAGUUCUGUGUUUUUUCCAGUUGACGUUAAUGGAGGUCCUACUGAGAUCCGAAGUCCCGGCUGCCUGAGCCCUCCUGCUAAGAGGACCCCAAGACUUGAGAUUUAAGAUGGACAAAGAGAUGGAUCUUUAUGCCCCCAGGCAGACCCCAGUCAGAUGACCACCCCACCCCACCAAAUGCCUGAGGGACUAAUACUCUCCAAGUCACCUCCACACCAGGACCUAGCAUCUAAAGAGUAUAUAAACCCCCAGAACUGAUGUCAUCUGGGGGAUAGCCUCUCCAUCCACGCUGUCCCCAUGGGGGAACAGCCUUUCCUUUCAUGUUGUCCUCCCAGGAACUGCUCCCCGUCUUGCUGUCCCAUCUUGCUAUCCUCCUGGCCACUCUCAACAUUACUUCCUAAAUUAAUAAAUUUCUCUUUUUGUUUUCAA